rnacentral:rRNA from 1 species
UAGUCUAGAGAAGCAUCAUCCGUGCUGGACCAUGUACAAGUCUCUUGGAACAGAGCGUCAUAGAGGGUGAGAAUCCCGUCCUUGACAUGGACUCCCAGUGCUUUGUGUUGUGCUCUCAACGAGUCGAGUUGUUUGGGAAUGCAGCUCAAAAUGGGUGGUAAAUUCCAUCUAAAGCUAAAUAUUGGCGAGAGACCGAUAGCGAACAAGUACCGUGAGGGAAAGAUGAAAAGCACUUUGGAGAGAGAGUUAAACAGUACGUGAAAUUGUUGAAAUGGAAACGCUUGAAGUCAGUCGCGUUCUCUGGGAUUCAGCCUUGCUUCUGCUUGGUGCACUUCCUAGUUUACGGGCCAACAUGGAUUUUGACCGGUGGAAAAGGAUUUGGGGAAUGUGGCACCUCCGGGUGUGUUAUAGCCCCUUGUCGCAUACAUCGGUUGGGAUCGAGGUUUCAGUGCACGCUUCGGUUGUGCUUUGAUGCUGGCGUAAUGGCUUUAAACGACCCGUCUUGA